UGAGGUAACGAAGUGCGUCGUAGAGAAGGACAAAUGCCGCCGAGUUGUUUUUGUGAAUAAAUUGGUGAAAAAUUAUUGAAUUAAAGGAUGUGAAGUGUUAUGUGAGUGUAAAUAGAGAGUUUAAGUGUUUACGCAACGAGUUUUCGGGGCCCUGGAUGUGUAGUUGAGACAAACAAUGUGGUUUCACUGAAAGGGAGACCGAAUGCUGUGUUUGAAGGCGAAGUGCGUCGGUUAGACAAAGGCGAGUGCCAUAGUUUUGUUUGUGUAAACGCAAUAGUGAAAAAUAAUUAUUGCAAAGUGGGUGAAGUGGUGUGUGAGUAGGAAAUAGGAUAUUCGGAUGCAUAAUUCACGGAUUUUUUGGAUUUUGGAGGUGUCCAGGAGACAAAGACCGGGUGAAACGAACAAUCAGGUGCUACAGCUGUGACAAUUGUGGAGAUCCUUACGAUGUGACAACUGCCGAGAAGCCGAUGUGUAUUGAUAGAUGUUUGAAAGUAGUCGUCGAAAUGGCUAAUGGCACAACAUCAACCAUACGCUCGUGCUCUGUACCUCCCACACAAAGUAUCACAGGAGUAUCUGCUGUACAUGUGUACCUGUGUGAGAAUAAUCUGUGCAAUGGAGGACUUUCCGUUACUCCGACGUCUGCACUUCUAACGUCGGCGAUGAUCGUUGGAACUAUUGUGGGAGUUACUCGAAUAUAAUAUUCAAUUAAAUCAAAGUAAAUAAUUAUAAAACUACUGGAAUGAAAAUUGGGGACUAAAGAGUUUGAGAUGUUUUCUUAAUUUCCAUUUUGAGUAUCUUAACACCUAAUUUUUUAAUUAGGUCGAUUACGUUCUUUAGUCCCAAAUAUUUCCAUUUAAGUGCAGGGAUAGAAUGACUUAUUCAUUUCAAAUGAGAUUUGCCAAUUAUUAACGAACACUAGAUUUAAAUAUGACUCAAUGGAUUUUCGUUAAUAAUUAACGAAUAGUUUAUGCAAUUAUACAUUUUUAAAAAACUCGAUUUAAUUGUUUUUUCGUGAGAAUUUUUGGUGGGAUUAAUUCUCAGAU